UUAAGUUCAGCGGGUAUCCCUACCUGAUCCGAGGUCAAACUGGAGAUGGACUUGCUGGACGCUGAUCCGCCAAAGCCUCGAGAAGCGCAAUGUGCUGCGCGAGAAGCUGGCACGACCGCUGCCAAUGUCUUCUAGGCGAGUCCGCGCACGAGGCGGGACAGGCGCCCAACACCAAGCAGAGCUUGAGGGGGUAAAUGACG
rnacentral:misc_RNA from 1 species